rnacentral:rRNA from 1 species
CCUACGGGAGGCAGCAGUGAGGAAUAUUGGUCAAUGGACGAGAGUCUGAACCAGCCAAGUAGCGUGAAGGAUGACUGCCCUAUGGGUUGUAAACUUCUUUUAUAUGGGAAUAAAAUGUUCCACGUGUGGGAUUUUGUAUGUACCAUAUGAAUAAGGAUCGGCUAACUCCGUGCCAGCAGCCGCGGUAAUACGGAGGAUUCGAGCGUUAUCCGGAUUUAUUGUGUUUAAAGGGAGCGUAGGUGGAUUGUUAAGUCAGUUGUGAAAGUUUGCGGCUCAACCGUAAAAUUGCAGUUGAAACUGGCAGUCUUGAGUAGAGGAGAGGUGGGCGGAAUGCGUGGUGUAGCGGUGAAAUGCUUAGAUAUCACGAAGAACUCCGAUUGCGAAGGCAGCUCACUGGACUGCAACUGACACUGAGGCUCGAAAGUGUGGGGAUCAAACAGGAUUAGAUACCCGGGUAGUC